rnacentral:rRNA from 1 species
UACGUAGGGUGCGAGCGUUGUCCGGAAUUAUUGGGCGUAAAGAGCUCGUAGGCGGCUUGUCGCGUCGGAUGUGAAAGCCCGGGGCUUAACUCCGGGACUGCAUUCGAUACGGGCAGGCUAGAGUUCGGUAGGGGAGAUCGGAAUUCCUGGUGUAGCGGUGAAAUGCGCAGAUAUCAGGAGGAACACCGGUGGCGAAGGCGGAUCUCUGGGCCGAUACUGACGCUGAGGAGCGAAAGCGUGGGGAGCGAACAGG